GUUUAGAUUUCCAGUUAGUGUUACUUCACCUCCAUAUUUUUCAAGUUCUGAGUCAAAAAAUCUUUUCCAGCUUCCAUUGUUUUCCUUAUCUAGAUACUUCUUUAUCCAUGUGGCUUUGAGAGAUCUAUUAAAGGAGGUUAUAUCACUCAUUUUAAGUCCCCCUUCUGAGUAAUCAUUAAUCAUUACCUUUCUUUUUAUUUUGUCGCCUUUGUCAUUCCAUAAGAAGUUGUAAAACAUUACAUUUAUCUCCUUUAUUGCUGUAUGAUUUGUUUGCAGAGGAGAAAAAAUAUAUACCAGCUGUGAAGUUAUGAGGCUUUUUAAAACAGUAAUUUUACCUAAAAGGCCAAGUCUGCGAAGUUUCCAGGAUCACAAUGUUCUGGUUACUUUUCAAAGUGGUACAAGUAUUGAAAUUAUGUUUUUUUUUACAACACACAGGUACUGAUGAAGAGCUUCAUGUGACCGUCUGUACUGUGUAUCUUGAAUCAAGAUGGAGGAUGCUGUCCCUUCACCCCUGGCCAGCUCUGUAGAGAAGAGAAAUAGAGCCAAGCUGAUCAGACUUCUUACUGAAGGCGGAGCAAUGGCUCUCAGGGAGAUUUUUGAUAGGAUUUUUGAUAGGAUUUAUCCCCUGACAAAUCUAAGGGAUAAACUCAAAGCAAACUAUGACAUUCUGCGUAACCUCCUCAGCAGAAAGGUGUUAUCUCGACAUCGGUGGAAUCUACUGUUUGCACCUGGUGAAGCUGGACCAGACUCCAAAACAUUUGAUAUUUCUCUACUAUUCCUCCUUCUGACCAAUACAUGUGAACUAUCCCCUCCCCCAUCAGGUUGGCACACUGAGCCAGUCUCAAGUGACACUUCCCUAGAGGCAAACCUUGCUCGUGUUAAAUAUUUCCAUGAUAUGUUGCUUGGUCAUGUGUCUACCAGUGGUGUCAAGACACCAACUUUCAAUGCUUUGUGGCAGAAAAUUACUGCUGUUCUUUUGGCCCUUGGGUUGAAUCCAGUAGAAAUUUACAGGUUAGAGGCUGAGCGUUGGGGGAAGGAAGAUUAUUAUGAUGUGGAGCAUGACUGGGCCGAUUUUGUGUCAUCGAUUGAGAUGACUGCUUCUGCACCUUCCCCCUUGGCCAGCUCUGUAGAGAAGACAAAUCAAGCCAAGCUGAGCAUACUUGUUAUUGAUGGUGGAACAAUGGCUCUUAGGAAGAUUUUCGAUAGGAUUCUUUCCCCGGAAUAUCUAUCGGAUAAACUCUAUGCAAACUAUCACACUCUGAAGAACCUCUUUAGGAUCAACGUUAUAUCUAAACAUCAGUGGGAUCUACUCUUCCCACCUGGUGGAACCACACCAGAUUCCAAAACAUUUGAUAUUACCCUUCUGUUCUUUCUUCUGACUAAGUUUUGUGGACUACGCCCUCCCUCCUCAGAUUGGCACAAUAUGCCAGACCCAAUGGACACUUCCCAAGGGGCAAACCUUGUUCGCGUUAGGUUUUUCCGCAAUACGUUGUAUGGUCAUGCGUCUCCCAGUGGUGUUGAUACACCAACUUUCAAUGCUUUGUGGCAGGAAAUUAGUGCUGUUCUUGUUGCUCUUGGGUUGGAUCAGGCAGAAAUUGAUAGGUUAAAGGCAGAGCGUUGGGGGAAGGAAGAUUACCGUGAUGUGGAGCACGACAUGGUAGUUAGUGUAACUUCCACUGACAUGGCUGCUGCAGCACCUUCACCCCUGGCCAUCUCUGAAGAGAAGACAAAUGGCGCCAAGCUUAGGAGACUUCUUAUUGACGGCGGAACAACGGUUCUAAGGAAUGUCUUUGAUAGAUAUCAUCCUCCUGCAAACCUGGCUGCUGGUCUUUAUUUAAACUAUGCUACUCUGGACAGUCUUUUGCAGAGAGAAGUUUUACUUAAACCGCGGUGGGAUCUACUGUUCCCACCUGGUGGAGCUACCCCAGAUUCCAAAACAUUUGAUAUCUACCUACUAUUCCACCUUUUGACCAACAUAUGCCGACUAUCCCCUCCUCCGUCAGGUUGGCACAAUAUGCCAGACCCAAUGGACACUUCCCUUAAAGCAAACCUUGUUCGCGUUAAGUUUUUCCGCAAUAAGUUGUAUGCUCAUGUGCCUACCACUGGUGUUGAUACACCAACUUUCAAUGCUUUGUGGCAGGAAGUUAGUGCUGUUCUUGUUGCUCUGGGAUUGAAUCAGGUAGAAAUUGAUAGGCUAAAGGCCGAGCGUUGGGGGAACGAAGAUUACCGUAGUGUACAACAUGACUUGGCCGAUAGUCCAGAGGAUAUCAAGACACAGCUGAGAAUCCACACCCAUCCAUAUCGUGCUAAGAGUGUUACGAGUGUUCGUCAGACCCAACUAGAAGUCCGUGAAACACUUCAGGAUAGAAAGUUAAAAGUGGAUGAAGUUCUCCACGCCAAAACCAAGACACAGUCAAAACUGCAAGAGCUGCAUCAGACUCAGACCAAAACGCAGCAAGUUAUUCAAGGAGAAAUGAAGACCCAAGAAGAGCUCGACAAGUUAGAGUUCAUACGGGACACUGACUAUCAUGUAGCACGAUACCAACAAGGCACUCAUGAGUGGGUGUUUAACGAAGCUGAAAAUUGGUUAGACGACAGAAGCUUGGCCGAGUUUGGAUAUGCUGAAGAGCUGUCUGACAAGGACGAUGAUAAUUCUGAGAAAGACGUCGAUGACCACGACAAUGGCAGCGAUAAUUAUGAUGAUGACAGAACUGAUGGUAUCAAAGAUAUCACGAAGCAGUUACUACAGUUUGGAAUUAAAGAGCAAGAAAUGGAGGAGCCAGAGAAUCCGUAUGAACAAGAACCAGACAAAAUAAAGAUACACGAAUGGUGAAACCUAGUGGAAAUUUGUGACGGAGAAGAUGGCGUGAAAAUAGCGUAAGUAUAUGAAAAUUCACUAUUAUUUUUCCUCGAGUUUUUGUGUUUUUGGUUGGUUGCAACACAUUGUUAAAUAAUUAACUGCCUUGUUUUCUUUUUUUGCCCGAAUGAACCCGCCCAAGCCACACAUGGAUGACUAAGAAUUAUCAGGAUGGGCAAGAUUUGCAGAAGAAGAAAA
rnacentral:misc_RNA from 1 species